rnacentral:rRNA from 1 species
GAUGAACGCUGGCGGCGUGCCUAAUACAUGCAAGUCGAACGCUGAAGCUUGGUGCUUGCACCGAGCGGAUGAGUUGCGAACGGGUGAGUAACGCGUAGGUAACCUGCCUCUUAGCGGGGGAUAACUAUUGGAAACGAUAGCUAAUACCGCAUAAAAGUCGACAUCGCAUGAUGUUGACUUGAAAGGUGCAAUUGCAUCACUAAGAGAUGGACCUGCGUUGUAUUAGCUAGUUGGUGAGGUAACGGCUCACCAAGGCGACGAUACAUAGCCGACCUGAGAGGGUGGUCGGCCACCCUGGGACUGAGACACGGCCCAGACUCCUACGGGAGGCAGCAGUAGGGAAUCUUCGGCCAUGGGGGCAACCCUGACCGAGCAACGCCGCGUGAGUGAAGAAGGUUUUCGGAUCGUAAAGCUCUGUUGUAAGAGAAGAACGAGUGUGAGAGUGGAAAGUUCACACUGUGACGGUAACUUACCAGAAAGAGACGGCUAACUACGUG